rnacentral:rRNA from 1 species
GACUACACGGGUAUCUAAUCCUGUUUGAUCCCCACGCUUUCGUGCCUCAGCGUCGGUAUAUCCCCAGCGAGCUGCCUUCGCUAUCGGCGUUCUGGUAGAUAUCUAUGCAUUUCACCGCUACACCUUCCAUUCCGCCCGCCUAGAGAUAACCCAAGCCCGACAGUAUCGAGGGCACUCCACAGGUUAAGCCUGUGGGUUUCACCCCCGACUUAUCGGGCCGCCUACGCACCCUUUAAACCCAAUAAAUCCGGACAACGCUUGCACCCUCCGUAUUACCGCGGCUGCUGGCACGGAGUUAGCCGGUGCUUAUUCUGGAGGUACACUCAAUUACCAACGCAUUGGCUUUUUGUCCCCUCCCAAAAGCAGUUUACAACCCAGAGGGCCUUCUUCCUGCACGCGGCAUGGCUGGGUCAGGCUUGCGCCCAUUGCCCAAUAUUCCCCACUGCAGCCGCCCGUAGG